rnacentral:misc_RNA from 1 species
GAUGAAGAAUGCAGCGAAAUGCGAUAAGUAAUGUGAAUUGCAGAAUUCAGUGAAUCAUCGAGUCUUUGAACGCACAUUGCGCCCCCUGGUAUUCCGGGGGGCAUGCCUGUCCGAGCGUCAUUGCUGCCCUCAAGCACGGCUUGUGUGUUGGGCCCCCGCCCCCCGGCUUCGGGGGGCGGGCCCGAAAGGCAGCGGCGGCACCGCGUCCGGUCCUCGAGCGUAUGGGGCUUCGUCACCCGCUCUGUAGGCCCGGCCGGCGCCCGCCGGCGACCCCAAUCAAUCUUUCCAGGUUGACCUCGGAUCAGGUAGGGAUACCCGCUGAACUUAAGCAUAUCAAUAAGCGGAGGA